CACGUUAAAAUACCGGUGCCUGUAAGAUUACCGAAGUUAAGCAAUGUCGAGCCAGGUCAGUACGAAGAUGAGUGACCACUUAGAAAUACUAGGUGCUGUAA